CCGAAUUAAUCGUACGUAUCCGUACGUCUAGUUCCGACGUCCGAAGUCAAUCUAAACUUGUUGGGAUUUUUCGUGUGUUUAUUACAUUAAUUAAAUAAAAUAUAUAGACAUGGAUGUAGAAAAACUAAUUAACUUGGUUUACAAUCACAAAUGUUUGUGGGAUCAGAAAGAUUCAAGUUAUUACUUACGAGAUCUUCGGCGUAAGGCAUGGCUAUAAAUAUCCACAGAAAUUAAAAUAUUUGUUGAUGAGCUAAAAAAGAAAUGGCGAAGUCUACGAGAUACUUUUGGGAAGGAGCUCAAAAACAUCAGCAACAAAAAAUCUGGCCAAGCAAGUACUUCAGAUCCCGAUUCGAAAUGGCCAUAUUUUCAGCUUCUGCUAUUUCUUCGAAGUACAAUGUGUAAAAGGGAACUUAAAAGUAGCGUGCCAGACACGUGUAACAGUUCUGAUGGAGAAGAUAGUUCAAAUAUAAGUAGCAGUUAUAUGCUUUCGUCGUCCCCCGGUCAAUCUUUGGAACCAAGUAGCGAACAAAUUCCAAAGAAGACUUUUAAAUCUUCAAUUAGAAAAAAAAUUAAAACACGUCAGGCAGAUGAAAUCGAUACAAGACUAUUACAGAUUGAAGAGGAAAAGUUAAAGUGCUUUCAAGAGACUACAAAUGAUCCUGAUGCCCAAUUUCUAAUAAGCCUUCUGCCGUUUUUAAAAGAUAUCUCCAAUCAUCGCAAAUCAUUGGUAAGAUCAAAAUUGCAACAAUUCUUAUAGACGAAUAAAAUGCUGUACCUCCUGUGGUAGUGCUUAAUCAAUCUAGUGACUCGACCCAGUUUAAUGUUGAUCUCAGUAUGUCACAAAAUAAUUAAGCACAAGGACUAUCGCAAGAAUAUAUUUGUCCGCAAUUCUCAACAGGUGCUCUCCCUCAGCAUGCAAUUUAAUCCAAACACCAGUAAUUAAUAUAAUAUGUAAGUUAUGUUUUGAAUAAAGAAGUAUGAAUAAAAGAAC